CCAUUUAAUUCAAGUGUUUAGGAGAAGGGACACUCCUGACAGUAGCAGGACUCUGGUAUUACUGCAGUUUGACACUACUGCUUUAAACUGUGGCUUUCUUCUUGCCACUCACUUGCAGCCCCAAACCUUAAGGGACAGUUGUGGGAAGAAGCUGAAAGCUCCUUGGAUUAACUUCCCUUUGUGUUGGACGGCAGGGAUGUGCCGUGUGGAUUUCAGAUGUACGGGCAGCUGUUUCAUCGCUCGCAGGGUGUUUGUCUGUGGUGGCAUUUUUCGACUCCAUUCAGCACACGGGACGGUCUCCCCCAGGCCGGGAGCAUCCCAGCUUCCUCUGUUCCUCCACCGUCCCAGCCAGCGGUCAAGGCACACAUGAUCUCUGACCCAGCCACGCAGAAAGCUGAACUCCAGUGAAUGUUGUUGAUGUGUGUGAGGCUCCUGUUCAGAAUGCCCAGAGGUGAAAGGUGAAAUCCACUUUUCUUCCCACGAAGAGAGGAGAACAGCUAUAAGGCAGGAGAUAUUGUCCCCCACUGGUCCCAGGAUCCCUGCGGUAAAGGCCCGCCCUACAGCUAUGCCUCUAGAUACAGAGUCUGAUGAGGAGCACAAGGCCAUGAAGGCUUUCCCUGAAAGCUCAAGGGAACACACACACACACACACACGCCCACACACACACACACGCAGACACACAGACGAGCACAGAUGCAUGCACAAAGGUGGGCAGGCGCAUGUACAAUCACUCAGACAUGUACAGUACACAUACGGAUACGCAAACAGACACACAAUAACAAAACAAAACAAAAAAAAGAGCAGGUGGAUACACUGUUCCGCUGGCACGCUUAAACAGACACAGUCACUGGCAUGGCAUCAAAAACAUAGUAAACUGUGGACCAACACAAAAACAGACCUGCUGGUACUCUCUGGCACAGCAAUCCGUAAUUCACAUCAAACGUAUAUGUGUGGUGUCGGAAAUAAACCCUGUACCGAAUCAA